GAAAAUCCAUGAUGACACAGGGUUUUCUGGAGUUGCUAGCAAUUCUGCUGUAACCAAGGGCCUCUCCUGGCUGUGUCUUGGCUUCCUGCAUCUGUUUGCUGUUCAUUUUCGGAAUCUGCAAGCGCUGAGUUUGCAUAAUCUCAGCCCUUCCUGUGCCCAGAGGCCAGAUGGGAAAAAAAGUAUGUGGAGAAUUGGGGAAUUGGCAGCCAAACUGAAGGAGAAAAUUGUGGCAAUCAUCGGAAAGUACGUGUGAGGAUGUGUUAUCACCCAGAAUGGAAGGAAAUUCCAGUGCUAAAUUGAAAAUGCAUACAACCAAACCGGAUGUGUUGACAUGGAAAAAGAAAGAUAUCAUGCAGCUGUCAGACAAAAGAAGGUGCCAAAAAGGUAAUAUCCAAAAUUUCUAUAGUU
rnacentral:lncRNA from 1 species